rnacentral:misc_RNA from 1 species
GGGGGGUAGAUGUCACUUUAACUGGCUCUCAGAAGGCACUUUCCCUUCCCACUGGUAUAGGAAUUGUGUGUGCAGGUCCCAAAGCUCUUGAAGCAACUAAAACUGCAAAAUCGGUUAGGGUGUUCUUCGACUGGAAUGACUACUUGAAGUUCUACAAACUUGGAACAUAUUGGCCAUACACCCCAUCCAUCCAAUUGCUCUAUGGACUUAGAACAGCUCUGGAUCUCAUUUUUGAGGAAGGACUUGACAAUGUGAUUGCAAGGCAUUCUCGUCUGGGCAAAGCGACAAGACUUGCUGUGGAGGCAUGGGGCUUGAAGAACUGCACCCAAAAGGAGGAAUGGUUCAGUGACACAGUGACCGCUGUCGUCGUUCCUCCAUAC